rnacentral:rRNA from 1 species
CCUACGGGUGGCAGCAGUGGGGAAUAUUGCACAAUGGGGGCAACCCUUAUGCAGCGACGCCGCGUGAGUGAAGAAGUAUUUCGGUACGUAAAGCUCUAUCAGCAGGGAAGAAAAUGACGGUACUUGACUAAGAAGCCGCGGCUAACUACGUGCCAGCAGCCGCGGUAGUACGUAGGGGGCAAGCGUUAUCCGGAUUUACGGGGUGUAAAGGUAGCGUAGACGGCAGCGAAAGUCUGAAGUGAAAUCCCAUGGCUUAACCAUGGAACUGCUUUGGAAACUGCGCAGCUGGAGUGCAGGAGAGGUAAGUGGAAUUCCUAGUGUAGCGGUGAAAUGCGUAGAUAUUAGGAGGAACAUCAGUGGCGAAGGCGGCUUACUGGACUGUAACUGACGUUGAGGCUCGAAAGCGUGGGGAGCAAACAGGAUUAGAUACCCCGGUAGUC